AGAGUUUGAUCCUGGCUCAGAACGAACGCUGGCGGCGUGCUUAACACAUGCAAGUCGAACGCGAAAAGGGGCAACCCUCGGUAGCGUGGCAGACGGGUGAGUAACACGUGGGUAACCUACCCGGAGGUGGGGGAUAACCCUUCGAAAGGAGGGCUAAUACCGCAUGACAUCGUGGGGACCUCGGUCCUCGCGAUCAAAGCUGGCCUCUGUUUACAAGCUAGCGCCACUGGAGGGGCCCGCGCCCCAUUAGCUAGUUGGUGAGGUAACGGCUCACCAAGGCGACGAUGGGUAGCCGGCCUGAGAGGGCGACCGGCCACACUGGAACUGCGACACGGUCCAGACUCCUACGGGAGGCAGCAGUGAGGAAUCUUGCGCAAUGGGCGAGAGCCUGACGCAGCGACGCCGCGUGAAGGAUGAAGGUCUUCGGAUUGUAAACUUCUGUCGAGCGGGACGAAUGCCAUGAGGGUGAACAAUCCUCGUGGUUGACGGUACCGCUGGAGGAAGCCCCGGCUAACUCCGUGCCAGCCGCCGCC
rnacentral:rRNA from 1 species